AGAAGAAGGAAGAGAGGGAGGGAGACAGACCCAGCUGCAAAGGACAAAAUCCAAUGGGAGGGAGCUCAGGCAAGGAGAGUUUUUUUUAAAGUCACAAGAAAUGAGAGGAAGCAGGAGGCUCCCAGGGGCUUGCGGAUAAGAGAGCUGAAAUUCAAAAUGGAAAUCUAACAAAGCAGCAAGUAGGCCGGUUGCAAAAGACCCAGCUCCGGCAUGAGAACAUGGGCAGAAAUAUCAAGAAAAACUGAACUGCAAAUUUAGAUGGCUGCUUUCCAAUGGCUGUGGGAAGCCUCUGUGGACCUUUUUCUUUAUUUUUCACUUGGGACCUGAGAGGUGUGCCAUCAGGUCUUUGCCAGACUGACAUCUUAUGAUUCUGUUUUCCUUUAGAUUUCUUCUUGCCAAAGGUGGUCCCAGUAACUACAGCACCUUCACUAAAUGGGGCCUGCUGAAGUUUCUCCCAAGAAUGUGGCUCUGGCCACAGCUCCAAUGGACAGAAGUGCCACAGCGGGCUUGCUCUAACUAGCGCCUGAGAGCAUGCCUAACCUUGGGGUAGAGAGGCCAGACAUUCCCUUGGGAGAUCACAGAUGCACUGCUGAGUCCAGCCAUCCAGCCAGUUCCUCCUAAGCAGAUUCCCAUCGGCCCUUCCAUCUGCCAUGUGACAGUCAUCUAUCCAUCCGGACAUCAGGUCAGCCUGCACUUACCCGUCCUGGGCAUCUGUCAAUCUUCCUUCUGACAUUAGAGACCACCAGAUGGUCCUUACAUGCUUCUUGGUUCAUCAAUCGGUCAGUCCCUCUCUUCAGACCAAGGGCCUUGAUUUGUGUCUCCAGGGUGGAGACCCCUGACUCAGGGUCAGUGGGAACAGACCUAGCCAUGUCCCCAGACGGUUUAUAAUCGGACACCCGUGGAGCCAGCAUUCACCCAGCAGCCCCCUAGGUCAUGAUGCCAAACAGAUCUCCCUUUCUGCCCCCUCAAAACCUCAUCUCCCCUGGGCCCAGCUGCCCCCACUGCUGGGGACUUUUCCCU
rnacentral:lncRNA from 1 species